rnacentral:rRNA from 1 species
GACGAACCGAGCGAACGUUGUUCGGAAUCACUGGGCUUAAAGGGCGCGUAGGCGGGCUCGCAAGUCUGUGGUGAAAUCCUCCAGCCCAACUGGAGAAUGGCCGUGGAUACUGCGGGUCUCGAGGGAGGUAGGGGCGUGCGGAACAGAUGGUGGAGCGGUGAAAUGCGUUGAUAUCAUCUGGAACUCCGGUGGCGAAGGCGGCACGCUGGACCUCUUCUGACGCUGAGGCGCGAAAGCCAGGGGAGCAAACGGG